rnacentral:rRNA from 1 species
UCGGUUAUCUGUACGCUCAACGUACAGGCUGCCGGGAAUACUGCAAAGCUAGGGAGUGGGAGAGGUAGACGGUACUCGGUAGGAAGGGGUAAAAUCCUUUGAUCUAUUGAUGACCACCUGUGGCGAAGGCGGUCUACCAGAACACGUCCGACGGUGAGGGAUGAAAGCUGGGGGGGCAAACCGGAUUAGAUACCCGGGUAGUCCAAGCUGUAAACCAUGCAAACUCAGUGAUGCAUUGGCUUGUGGCCAAUGCAGUGCUGCAGGGAAGCCGUUAAGUUUGCCGCCUGGGAAGUACGUACGCAAGUAUGAAACUUAAAGGAAUUGGCGGGGGAGCACCACAAGGGGUGAAGCCUGCGGUUCAAUUGGAGUCAACGCCAGAAAUCUUACCCGGAGAGACAGCAGAAUGAAGGUCAAGCUGAAGACUUUACCAGACAAGCUGAGAGGUGGUGCAUGGCCGUCGCCAGCUCGUGCCGUGAGAUGUCCUGUUAAGUCAGGUAACGAGCGAGAUCCCUGCCUCUAGUUGCCACCAUUACUCUCAGGAGUAGUGGGGCGAAUUAGCGGGACCGCCGAGUUUAAUGGCGGAGGAANGAANGGGCCACGGCAGGUCAGUAUACCCCGAAACUCUGGGGCCACACGCGGGCUGCAAUGGUAACGACUAUUGGUUUCGAAUCCCAAAGGAUGAGGUAAUCCUCAAACGUUACCACAGUUAUGACUGAAGGCUGCAACUCGCCCUCACGAAUAUGGAAUCCCUAGUAACUGCGUGUCAUUAUCGCGCGGUGAAUACGUCCCUGCUCCUU